CUAGAUGAACCCUGCAGGUAGAACAGUAGAACACACAGAGGUAGUAGCAGGGUUCCACCUGCAGGUAGAACAGUAGAACACACAGAGGUAGUAGCAGGGUUCCACCUGCAGGUAGAACAGUAGAACACACAGAGGUAGUAGCAGGGUUCCACCACUAGAUGAACCCUGCAGGUAGAACAGUAGAACACACAGAGGUAGUAGCAGGGUUCCACCACUAGAUGAACCCUGCAGGUAGAACAGUAGAACACACAGAGGUAGUAGCAGGGUUCCACCUGCAGGUAGAACAGUAGAACACACAGAGGUAGUAGCAGGGUUCCACCACUAGAUGAACCCUGCAGGUAGAACAGUAGAACACACAGAGGUAGUAGCAGGGUUCCACCUGCAGGUAGAACAGUAGAACACACAGAGGUAGUAGCAGGGUUCCACCUGCAGGUAGAACAGUAGAACACACAGAGGUAGUAGCAGGGUUCCACCACUAGAUGAACCCUGCAGGUAGAACAGUAGAACACACAGAGGUAGUAGCAGGGUUCCACCACUAGAUGAACCCUGCAGGUAGAACAGUAGAACACACAGAGGUAGUAGCAGGGUUCCACCACUAGAUGAACCCUGCAGGUAGAACAGUAGAACACACAGAGGUAGUAGCAGGGUUCCACCUGCAGGUAGAACAGUAGAACACACAGAGGUAGUAGCAGGGUUCCACCACUAGAUGAACCCUGCAGGUAGAACAGUAGAACACACAGAGGUAGUAGCAGGGUUCCACCACUAGAUGAACCCUGCAGGUAGAACAGCAGAACACACAGAGGUAGUAGCAGGGUUCCACCUGCAGGUAGAACAGUAGAACACACAGAGGUAGUAGCAGGGUUCCACCACUAGAUGAACCCUGCAGGUAGAACAGUAGAACACACAGAGGUAGUAGCAGGGUUCCACCUGCAGGUAGAACAGUAGAACACACAGAGGUAGUAGCAGGGUUCCACCACUAGAUGAACCCUGCAGGUAGAACAGUAGAACACACAGAGGUAGUAGCAGGGUUCCACCUGCAGGUAGAACAGUAGAACACACAGAGGUAGUAGCAGGGUUCCACCACUAGAUGAACCCUGCAGGUAGAACAGUAGAACACACAGAGGUAGUAGCAGGGUUCCACCACUAGAUGAACCCUGCAGGUAGAACAGUAGAACACACAGAGGUAGUAGCAGGGUUCCACCUGCAGGUAGAACAGUAGAACACACAGAGGUAGUAGCAGGGUUCCACCACUAGAUGAACCCUGCAGGUAGAACAGUAGAACACACAGAGGUAGUAGCAGGGUUCCACCUGCAGGUAGAACAGUAGAACACACAGAGGUAGUAGCAGGGUUCCACCACUAGAUGAACCCUGCAGGUAGAACAGUAGAACACACAGAGGUAGUAGCAGGGUUCCACCACUAGAUGAACCCUGCAGGUAGAACAGUAGAACACACAGAGGUAGUAGCAGGGUUCCACCUGCAGGUAGAACAGUAGAACACACAGAGGUAGUAGCAGGGUUCCACCACUAGAUGAACCCUGCAGGUAGAACAGUAGAACACACAGAGGUAGUAGCAGGGUUCCACCACUAGAUGAACCCUGCAGGUAGAACAGUAGAACACACAGAGGUAGUAGCAGGGUUCCACCUGCAGGUAGAACAGUAGAACACACAGAGGUAGUAGCAGGGUUCCACCUGCAGGUAGAACAGUAGAACACACAGAGGUAGUAGCAGGGUUCCACCACUAGAUGAACCCUGCAGGUAGAACAGUAGAACACACAGAGGUAGUAGCAGGGUUCCACCACUAGAUGAACCCUGCAGGUAGAACAGUAGAACACACAGAGGUAGUAGCAGGGUUCCACCACUAGAUGAACCCUGCAGGUAGAACAGUAGAACACACAGAGGUAGUAGCAGGGUUCCACCUGCAGGUAGAACAGUAGAACACACAGAGGUAGUAGCAGGGUUCCACCUGCAGGUAGAACAGUAGAAUACACAGAGGUAGUAGCAGGGUUCCUCCUGCAGGUAGAACAGUAGAAUAGACAGAGGUAGUAGCAGGGUUCCACCUGCAGGUAGAACAGCAGAACACACAGAGGUAGUAGCAGGGUUCCACCACUAGAUGAACCCUGCAGGUAGAACAGUAGAACACACAGAGGUAGUAGCAGGGUUCCACCACUAGAUGUACCCUGCAGGUAGAACAGUAGAACACACAGAGGUAGUAGCAGGGUUCCACCUGCAGGUAGAACAGUAGAAUACACAGAGGUAGUAGCGGGGUUCCACCUGCAGGUAGAACAGUAGAAUACACAGAGGUAGUAGCGGGGUUCCACCUGCAGGUAGAACAGCAGAACACACAGAGGUAGUAGCAGGGUUCCACCUGCAGGUAGAACAGUAGAAUACACAGAGGUAGUAGCAGGGUUCCACCUGCAGGUAGAACAGCAGAAUACACAGAGGUAGUAGCAGGGUUCCACCUGCAGGUAGAACAGUAGAAUACACAGAACAGCAGAGUGCCCAUUAGAGAUGGAGGGGUUCUACAGAGCAGGGUCAGAAGGCUGUAGAUCUGCUUUAUGUUCUAGGAUAAAGGUGAAAUACAUCCAGCACUAUAAAAGGAGGAUGUGGAACUGCAGUUAUGUCACUGGAUGUGAUUUGUUAUGAGCUUACGAAACAAACAGUGUUGGGGACAGGAGAUGGGCCGAGCUAGCUGGGGUGUAUUCAUUAGGAACCAAACAGAACUAGGCAGGACUUAGCUGAAUUUGUCCAAAAGAAACACUUGAUUUCGCUGCAGAACGAUUUCCGUUGGAAAACUUUUUGCUACAGUGUGCGACUAAUUAAUACAUCCCAAGCUGUUUUCAUGAGGCCUGUUCAAUCAGGCUUUACCACCAUGACAGACAAGGAUAUACAAGUUAGAUGUUACGUGACAUGUUAGUUAAGCACACCUGUUCUCCCACCAGGAGUGAUGAGUCAACCUCAUUCUGAGACCUCUUUAGAAACAGUGUACGCCUACUGAACACUCCAUUUUAACACAAGGCAGUGGAUAAGAGACAUACUAACAAGGAGAUACUUUUGGUUAUGUAAUGUAUGUGGACACCUGCUCAUUGAACAUCUCAUUCCAAAAUCAUGGGCAUUUUAUAUUGAGUUGGUCCCCCUCUUUUACUGCUAUAACAGCCUCCACUCUUCUGGGAAGGCUUUCCACUAAAUUUUGGAACAUUACUGCUAUAACAGCCUCCACUCUUCUGGGAAGGCUUUCCACUAGAUGUUGGAACAUUA